GGUAGUCCACACCGUAAACGAUGAUUACUCGAUGCUAGCGAUAUACUGUUAGUGUCUAAGCGAAAGCGAUAAGUAAUCCACCUGGGGAGUACGGUCGCAAGAUUGAAACUCAAAGGAAUUGACGGGGGCCCGCACAAGCGGUGGAGCAUGUGGUUUAAUUCGAUGAUACGCGAGGAACCUUACCUGGGCUUAAAUGUAUUUUGACAGGCUGGGAAACCAGUCCUUCUUCGGACAAUUUACAAGGUGCUGCAUGGUUGUCGUCAGCUCGUGCUGUGAGGUGUCGGGUUAAGUCCCAUAACGAGCGCAACCCCUAUCCUUAGUUGCCAGCGAGUAAUGUCGGGGACUCUAAGGAAACUGCCGGUGCAAACCGUGAGGAAGGUGGGGAUGACGUCAAAUCAUCACGGCCCUUACGUCCAGGGCUACACACGUGCUACAAUGGCGCAUACAAAGGGCAGCUACAUGGUGACAUGAUGCUAAUCUCUAAAGUGCGUCUCAGUUCGGAUCGAAGUCUGCAACUCGACUUCGUGAAGCUGGAAUCGCUAGUAAUCGUAUAUCAGCAAUGAUACGGUGAAUACGUUCCCGGGCCUUGUACACACCGCCCGUCAAGCCAUGG
rnacentral:rRNA from 1 species